rnacentral:rRNA from 1 species
UAAGGAAUAUUGGACAAUGGACGCAAGUCUGAUCCAGCCAUGCCGCGUGAAGGAUGAAUGCCCUCUGGGUUGUAAACUUCUUUUAUAGGGGAAGAAAGAUACUUUUUUUAAGGUAGUUGACGGUACCCUAUGAAUAAGCACCGGCUAACUCCGUGCCAGCAGCCGCGGUAAUACGGAGGGUGCAAGCGUUAUCCGGAUUUACUGGGUUUAAAGGGUGCGUAGGCGGGCAUGUAAGUCAGUGGUGAAAUACCGGAGCUUAACUUCGGAACUGCCAUUGAUACUAUAUGUCUUGAAUAUUGUGGAGGUAAGCGGAAUAUGUCAUGUAGCGGUGAAAUGCAUAGAUAUGACAUAGAACACCAAUUGCGAAGGCAGCUUACUACACAAUCAUUGACGCUGAGGCACGAAAGCGUGGGGAUCAAACA